UACGUAGGUGGCGAGCGUUAUCCGGAAUGAUUGGGCGUAAAGGGUGCGUAGGCGGCCUGCUAAGUCUGGAGUGAAAGGUACCGGCUCAACCGGUACAGGCUCUGGAAACUGGCGGGCUAGAGAGCAGGAGAGGGCGGUGGAACUCCGUGUGUAGCGGUGAAAUGCGUAGAUAUAUGGAGGAACACCGGUGGCGAAAGCGGCUCUCUGGCCUGUAACUGACACUGAGGCUCGAAAGCGUGGGGAGCAAACAGG
rnacentral:rRNA from 1 species